rnacentral:rRNA from 1 species
CAAGAGUUUGAUCCUGGCUCAGGAUGAACGCUGGCGGCGUGCCUAACACAUGCAAGUCGAACGGGGUUAUUUUGGAAAGUUCCUUCGGGGACUGGAAUCUUUAACCUAGUGGCGGACGGGUGAGUAACGCGUGAGCAAUCUGCCUUUAGGAGGGGGAUAACAGUCGGAAACGGCUGCUAAUACCGCAUAAUGCAUCAAUUUCGCAUGUUAUUGAUGCCAAAGGAGCAAUCCGCCUUUAGAUGAGCUCGCGUCUGAUUAGCUAGUUGGCGGGGUAACGGCCCACCAAGGCGACGAUCAGUAGCCGGACUGAGAGGUUGAACGGCCACAUUGGGACUGAGACACGGCCCAGACUCCUACGGGAGGCAGCAGUGGGGAAUAUUGCGCAAUGGGGGCAACCCUGACGCAGCAACGCCGCGUGAAUGAUGAAGGCCUUCGGGUUGUAAAAUUCUGUUAUAAGGGAAGAACGACUUUAGUAGGAAAUGGCUAGAGUGUGACGGUACCUUAUGAGAAAGCCACGGCUAACUACGUGCCAGCAGCCGCGGUAAGAUCUCGU